GCGGCGGAAGCCUUCCUGGCGCGACGCCGGAGGCGUUCGCGGCUUUCCGCUCGGAGCUGGCCGAGGCGAGCCGCGUUCUGUCCGCGACCGCCGCG
rnacentral:tRNA from 1 species